UACGUUCCCGGGUCUUGUACACACCGCCCGUCACACCACGAGAGUUUACAACACCCGAAGUCGGUGGGGGAACCCGCAAGGGGCCCAGCCGCCGAAGGUGGGGUAGAUGAUUGGGGUG
rnacentral:rRNA from 1 species